rnacentral:rRNA from 1 species
CUGAGAGGGUGAUCGGCCACAUUCGGACUGAGACACGGCCCAAACUCCUACGGGAGGCAGCAGUGGGGAAUAUUGCACAAUGGGGGAAACCCUGAUGCAGCGACGCCGCGUGAAGGAAGAAGUAUUUCGGUAUGUAAAUUUCUUCAGCAGGGAAGAAAUGACGGUACCUGACUAAGAAGCCCGGGCUAACUACGUGCCAGCAGC